UACGAAGGGGGCUAGCGUUGCUCGGAAUUACUGGGCGUAAAGGGAGCGUAGGCGGGUCGUCAAGUUGGGGGUGAAAGCCCAGGGCUCAACCUUGGAAUUGCCUUCAAAACUGACGAUCUAGAGUAUGGAAGAGGUAAGUGGAACUCCGAGUGUAGAGGUGAAAUUCGUAGAUAUUCGCAAGAACACCAGUGGCGAAGGCGGCUCACUGGCCCGAUACUGACGCUGAGGCACGAAGGCGUGGGGAGCAAACAGG
rnacentral:rRNA from 1 species